rnacentral:tRNA from 1 species
AGAAAGUUAGUCUAACUAAGACAGUUGAUUUCGACUCAACAGAUUAUAGCUACCGCCCUAUAACUUUCUU